rnacentral:rRNA from 1 species
UACGUAGGGGGCAAGCGUUGUCCGGAUUUAUUGGGCGUAAAGAGCGUGUAGGCGGUUUGGUAGGUCCGCUGUGAAAACUCGAGGCUCAACCUCGAGACGCCGGUGGAAACCAUCAGACUAGAGUCCGGAAGAGGAGAGUGGAAUUCCUGGAUGUAGCGGUGAAAUGCGCAGAUAUCAGGAAGAACACCCGUGGCUAAGGCGGCUCUCUAGUACGGUACUGACGCUGAGACGCGAAAGCGUGGGGAGCGAACAGG